rnacentral:rRNA from 1 species
CCUACGGGCGGCAGCAGUGAGGAAUAUUGGUCAAUGGACGAGAGUCUGAACCAGCCAAGUAGCGUGAAGGAUGACUGCCCUAUGGGUUGUAAACUUCUUUUAUAUGGGAAUAAAAUGUUCCACGUGUGGGAUUUUGUAUGUACCAUAUGAAUAAGGAUCGGCUAACUCCGUGCCAGCAGCCGCGGUAAUACGGAGGAUCCGAGCGUUAUCCGGAUUUAUUGGGUUUAAAGGGAGCGUAGGUGGAUUGUUAAGUCAGUUGUGAAAGUUUGCGGCUCAACCGUAAAAUUGCAGUUGAAACUGGCAGUCUUGAGUACAGUAGAGGUGGGCGGAAUCCGUGGUGUAGCGGUGAAAUGCUUAGAUAUCACGAAGAACUCCGAUUGCGAAGGCAGUUCACUGGACUGCAACUGACACUGAGGCUCGAAAGUGUGGGUAUCAAACAGGAUUAGAUACCCGGGUAGUC